AGUAGAUUACCGGUCCCGCCGCGGAGCGGCCAGCUGUGAGGCUGGGGCCGGCGCGUGGUUGCGGCUCUGUGCUCCUACUCUUCGGAGCUGUAAGCGGGCUGUUCUUGCGGUUUUCCUGUUUCAGAUCCAAUUCUGUGGCAUCACUAGGAAGGGAGCUCUUGUGCUUAGCACGUAGCCUCGUCCUCAGACUUGGACAGACACAAGGGAGGCUCCGCUGGACCGGAGGGCACAAGAGCUCCGAGCCCGGUCGUCGGGGCGGUAGAACCUGGAAGCGGGAGAGUGGUCUGGUACUGCUAUAACCAGAAUUUGGUAGAAAAAGGAUUUACUUGUUGGGGCCCUCUUGAUAAAAAGAGAUGUGGGGGGAUUCUCGACCUGCUAACAGAACUGGACCUUUUCGUGGGAGCCAAGAAGAAAGGUUUGCUCCCGGGUGGAACAGGGAUUAUCCUCCUCCUCCCCUUAAGAGUCAUGCUCAAGAGAGACACUCUGGCAACUUUCCUGGCAGAGAUUCACUUCCCUUUGAUUUCCAGGGGCAUUCGGGGCCUCCUUUUGCAAAUGUAGAGGAGCAUUCUUUCAGCUAUGGAG
rnacentral:lncRNA from 1 species